AACCCAACAGCUAGCCCCC
rnacentral:rRNA from 1 species